rnacentral:rRNA from 1 species
GACGAACGCUGGCGGCGUGCUUAACACAUGCAAGUCGAACGGAAAGGCCCUUCGGGGUACUCGAGUGGCGAACGGGUGAGUAACACGUGGGUGAUCUGCCCUGCACUUUGGGAUAAGCCUGGGAAACUGGGUCUAAUACCGAAUAGGACCACGCGCUUCAUGGGGUGUGGUGGAAAGCUUUUGCGGUGUGGGAUGGGCCCGCGGCCUAUCAGCUUGUUGGUGGGGUAAUGGCCUACCAAGGCGCCGACGGGUAGCCGGCCUGAGAGGGUGACCGGCCACACUGGGACUGAGAGACGGCCCAGACUCCUACGGGAGGCAGCAGGGGGGAAUAUUGCACAAUGGGCGCAAGCCUGAUGCAGCGACGCCGCGUGAGGGAUGACGGCCUUCGGGUUGUAAACCUCUUUCAAUAGGGACGAAGCGCAAGUGACGGUACCUAUAGAAGAAGCACCGGCCAACUACGUG